rnacentral:rRNA from 1 species
UACAGAGGUCUCAAGCGUUGUUCGGAUUCAUUGGGCGUAAAGGGUGCGUAGGCGGCAAGGCAAGUCAGGUGUGAAAUCCCGGAGCUCAACUCCGGAACUGCACUUGAUACUGCCCUGCUAGAGUACUGGAGAGGAGACUGGAAUUUACGGUGUAGCAGUGAAAUGCGUAGAUAUCGUAAGGAAGACCAGUGGCGAAGGCGAGCCUCUGGACAGUUACUGACGCUGAGGCACGAAGGCCAGGGGAGCAAACGGG